GCCUACGGCCAUACCACCCUGAAAGCGCCCGAUCUCGUCUGAUCUCGGAAGCUAAGCAGGGACGUGCUUGGUUAGUACCUGGAUGGGAGACCGCCUGGGAAUACCAGGUGUUGUAGGCU
ensembl:rRNA 5S_rRNA 5S ribosomal RNA